rnacentral:rRNA from 1 species
CGCGUAGGCGGCCUUCUAAGUCAGACGUGAAAUCCCCCGGCUUAACCUGGGAACUGCGUCUGAUACUGGGAGGCUAGAGCAUGGGAGAGGGAUGUAGAAUUCCAGGUGUAGCGGUGAAAUGCGUAGAUAUCUGGAGGAAUACCGGUGGCGAAGGCGGCAUCCUGGACCAUUACUGACGCUGAGGCGCGAAAGCUAGGGAGCAAACG